UGGGAGGGUAGAUCACCACCACCAUCAUCAGGAUUAUUCCUGUUAUUAUUUUGUGAUGCUGGGCACUGAGCCCAAGGACUUCAUACUGAGAUCCAUCUCCAACCUUUCUUUUUUCUUUUUUAUAUUGAGACAAGGUCUCCCUAAGUUGCUAAAUUGCCCAGCACUGAGGAGGGCCUGGCUCAGUAGCAGGGCAUUGGCCAGUGUAUGCAAGACCUGGGGGUCCCACCCCAAGCACAUCAGCUCAAAGAAAGGUAAAUAUCUGAACCGACAGCUAGGUGGUCAUACCAAAUAUAUUGUGUGCAAUUUUACACACAAAGAAAAAGUCAAGGGAGGAAAAAAAUGUAUAUUCUAAGGACCCUUAUACUAAAGACAUGGUGCUCCAGGCACUUUAUACAUUAUUCCUUUAAGAUUAAGUCCUCAAACAACAGUUUUGUGUUAUUAUUAUCCUUUUUUUUUUUUUCUUUUUCUUUUCUUGAGGUAGGGUCUUCCUAUGCAGUCCCAGCUGGGGUUGAACUCACAGAGAUCCACCUGCCUCAGCCUCUUAUAUGCUAGGCUUACCUGGCUCUAUGUUUUAAAGAUGGAAAAAUGAAGGAUAAGAGUUUGUCAUCUUUGUUACUCAAAGGUAUUGAAGAAAUUUUGGAUACAAUAAAGGCCCAGAACAUUUCUCCAUUGGUGGCCUCAUUAGUCUGCUGUCCCUUUAAGAGUAUCCUCCUACGGAAGCCUCAGAACCCAAGCAAUCUCCGCCCCCUUCCUUUCUCCAAUCCGGAUCAGCCUUGCUUCUUGCUUUGACCAAUCACACGUGUCCGAGAUGAUGUCACUCCUCUUCCAAGGCCAGGCCUUAAGAAACCCUGCAGCUUCUCUUUUCAAUGUCGUAGGUCACUUUGGACACCUUGUCCCUUGUCCAGUGUGACCUGGUGACCUUGUGAGACAUCAGGACAGGGGCAGGGUCUCACUAUGGAGCCCAGACUGGCCUUGAACUCCCGCUGCCGAUCCUCCUGCCUCAGCUUCCUGAGUGCCACCACGCCCGGAAAGAGUACUGGGGACUGAGCCAGCACCUUUGCCCUGAGCUGCACCCCCAGCCCACCCCUUCCUUUGAGAUGAUGCUCACUAAGUUUUCCAGGCUGGAUUUGAAGUCUGAUCCUCCUGCCUCAGCCUCCUGAGUACUGUGAUGACAGGCGUGCGCCCCCACACACCUGGUUUCCCGCUUUGGUAAUUCUGUGAGGUCUCUGAAUGCUCACAGGGAAUAAAUUCAUUUUUCUGAACUCA